AGACGAGAUUUUAGGGGGCUUGGUCCCAAAACCAUCCUGUUUGCCGGAGGGUGAGGGACGAGACCAAAAAGACAAACUACACAUGUAGACGCUUAUAUCACGAGACUCAAGGACCCGGGUUCGAUCCCCGGCACCUCCACCA
rnacentral:tmRNA from 1 species